rnacentral:tmRNA from 1 species
GGGGCAGUAACGGUUUCGACAGGGACUUCGAAGCUGGUGAAGCUAUCCGCAUGCAAUGCGUUAAAUGGCAAAAUUAAAAUUAAACGCUAACAGAAAUACUGUAGCUCUCGCUGCCUAAUCGCAGCGUGUGUCAGCCUUAGAGCACUCACACUUUAAGAAUCUGGCAUCGAAUAUGUGAGAAACGACGAUGAGAAGGUUCCGCAUCAUCGGGCGUAUCAGGAACUACUGAAACUCUGAGGGUGUCUAUCCCCGCGGGGCAGAGGGAAUGUCAAAGGACAGACUAUGAUAGUAGAAGAACAGGGGACAGGUUUUUGGACACGGGUUCGACCCCCGUCUGCUCCACGA